AUUGAAUUCCUACAACCAACAUAAAUCCAUUCCUUUAAACCCUUCUACACGUUUCCAUUAAUAUCUCUACCCACAAAAAUCUCUCCAACAAACAAAUCUAAUCUCUGCAUUAUAUAUCUCUCCCCACAAUUGCAUCUUUUAUCAGCCGUUUCAUAAUUUCUAGUAUAGUUUUCUUCCCUUCCAACAAAGGUAUAAUCUUCCACUUCAAUUCAGUGUAUACAACUCUCUGGAUAUUAAAUCCAUAGCACCAUAUUCUUUCUUGUCACAAUUGAGAGGAAAACAAUUGAGCAGCCUGUGAAAUAACCAUCCCUCUGCAAUCUCAAAUUGUUCUCUUCAUUCCAAAGGGUGAGCUUGUGCACGUUGUUUACGGUGGGAACAGAAAGUGAUUGAGGAGUAAGCUUUUGAGAUUGAGCGGCGAUGGACGUGGAGGAUGUUGAGCAGAGAUCAUGGAUUGUUUUGUCAUGAUUAUUAAUUGUUGGAUUUGUCGUGUCUUCAUACUCGACAUUUUCCAUGUCUUGAACGCUUCCGCUAAGAGUCCUUUUCUUUAGAAUUGUUUAUUCGUGGAGAGUCUUACUCGUUUGAAAAUUGUUUAUUGUCCAUUCUUUAUUUACUUAGAGUGGGUAUUACUGUUAGGAUAAUAUUAUGACGUUUUCAAAGUUAAUCUAGUUAUUAAAUCUUUGGUCAA